rnacentral:rRNA from 1 species
UAAUUAUUGAGUUUGAUGAUGGCUCUGAUUGAACGCUGUCCAAAGGCUUGACACAUGCUAAUCGUACGUUAUUUUGUAUAUAUUAUAAAAUAAAGUGGUGUAAAGGUGAGUAUAUAAAUAUUUUGAUCUUCCUUAAAGUAAGGGAAAAAAUCCCUUAUAGAGUGUGAUAGAUAUAAAUUAAAAGUAUCUUCAUACAAAAGAAAAAAAAAAUUUUUUUUUUUUUUCGCUUUAAGAUGCUUUAAAUAUGAUCAAGUAAGUAGUAGUUAAGGUAAUGUCUUAGCUAGCUUAAACUUGUAGUCAUAACUGAGAGGUUUAUUGACCACAUUGGGCCUGAAAAAAUCCCAAUACGUGUAGUACAGCAGUGAGGAAUAUUGGUCAAUGGCCUAACGGCUGAACCAGCAAUUUGGGGGAAUGUAUGAUGUAUAUCAGUAUAUACAUGCUAAGGUAUGUAUAUAUAUUGACUAUGUCAAAUAAAGUUCUAGAUAGAUAAUUGAUGAUGACAAAUUUCUAUCUAUAUGUCUUGACCAAGUCUUGUGCCAGCAGUCGCGGCAAUACAAGGAAGACUAGUGUUAUUCAUCUUUAUUAGGUUUAAAGGGUACCUAGACGGUAUAUCUAGCCUCAAAAAGGUACAGAUGUACUAGAGUUUAAUGGGAGAGGUAAAUAUUAGGGCUAUUGGUGUAGAGAUGAAAUUCUUUGAUACUAAUGGAACGGAUAACGGCGAAGGCAACCCUCUAUGUAUAAACUGACGUUAAGGGACGAAGGCUUGGGGAGCGAAUAGGAUUAGAUACCCUAGUAGUCCAGGCAGAAAAUUAUGAAUGUUAUAGACUGAAUGUAAAGUUGGUGUAUAAAUGAAAGUGUAAGCAUUCCACCUCAAGAGUAAUGUGGCAACACAGGAACUGAAAUCAUUAGACCGUUUCUGAAACCAGUAGUGAAGUAUGUUAUUUAAUUCGAUGACCCUCGAACAACCUUACCACAAUUUGAAUGAUAUUUAAAAAGCUCUCCCCCAUUUAAAUAUCACAAGCGUUGCACGGCUGUCUUCAGUUAAUGUCGUGAGAUUUUGGUUAGAUCCAUUAAAUUAACGUAAACCCUUGCUUUAUUUUUUAUUAAAUCAUUAAAUGAUGGAUAAGAAUAGGGUAGUUCACCGCUAUAUUGGAUAUGAUAAAAGGGACCAAGACAAGUCAUCAUGACCUUAAUAUUGUGGGCUAUAGACGUGCCACAUAUGUUUGUACAAAGGGAGGCAAAAACGCGAGUUAGAGCUAAUCCCCAAAACAAAAUAUAAUAUGGAUUGUAGUCUGAAACUCGACUGCAUGAAAAAGGAAUUACUAGUAAUCGUGAAUCACCACAUCACGGUGGAUUUAAUCUCAGAUAGGUACUAACCACUCGUCAGGCGCUGAAAGGAGUAUGUGCAAUAAGUUUGGUUUAUUGUGAAUCUUUCCUCUAAUCAAUUAGGAUUGGAUGUUUUUGCAAUCGAUCUUCGUAUGCGUGACUCUAAUUGGUGUUAAGUCGAAAUACGGUUCGUGUAGUAGAAAUUGCACGGGAUUAAUAAACAUA